rnacentral:rRNA from 1 species
ACCCGCUGAACUUAAGCAUAUCAAUAAGCGGAGGAAAAGAAACCAACAGGGAUUGCCCUAGUAACGGCGAGUGAAGCGGCAACAGCUCAAAUUUGAAAUCUGGCUCUUUCAGAGUCCGAGUUGUAAUUUGCAGAGGGCGCUUUGGCGUUGGCAGCGGUCCAAGUUCUUUGGAACAGGACGUCACAGAGGGUGAGAAUCCCGUACGUGGUCGCUAUCCUUCGCCGUGUAAAGCCCCUUCGACGAGUCGAGUUGUUUGGGAAUGCAGCUCUAAAUGGGAGGUAAAUUUCUUCUAAAGCUAAAUACUGGCCAGAGACCGAUAGCGCACAAGUAGAGUGAUCGAAAGAUGAAAAGCACUUUGGAAAGAGAGUCAAAAAGCACGUGAAAUUGUUGAAAGGGAAGCGCUUGCAGCCAGACUUGCCUGUAGUUGCUCAUCCGGGCUCUUGCCCGGUGCACUCUUCUGCGGGCAGGCCAGCAUCGGUCCGGGCGGUUGGAUAAAUGCCUGCUAAAUGUACCUCUCCUCGGGGAGGACUUAUAGGGCAGGCGGCAUACAACCAGCCUGGACUGAGGUCCGCGCAUCUGCUAGGAUGCUGGCGUAAUGGCUGU